GACGAACGCUGGCGGCGUGCCUAAUACAUGCAAGUAGAACGCUGAAGGAGGAGCUUGCUUCUCUGGAUGAGUUGCGAACGGGUGAGUAACGCGUAGGUAACCUGCCUGGUAGCGGGGGAUAACUAUUGGAAACGAUAGCUAAUACCGCAUAAUAGUAGAUGUUGCAUGACAUUUACUUAAAAGGUGCAAUUGCAUCACUACCAGAUGGACCUGCGUUGUAUUAGCUAGUUGGUGGGGUAACGGCUCACCAAGGCGACGAUACAUAGCCGACCUGAGAGGGUGAUCGGCCACACUGGGACUGAGACACGGCCCAGACUCCUACGGGAGGCAGCAGUAGGGAAUCUUCGGCAAUGGACGAAAGUCUGACCGAGCAACGCCGCGUGAGUGAAGAAGGUUUUCGGAUAGUAAAGCUCUGUUGUAAGAGAAGAACGAGUGUGAGAGUGGAAAGUUCACACUGUGACGGUAUCUUACCAGAAAGGGACGGCUAACUACGUG
rnacentral:rRNA from 1 species